UACGGGGGGGGCAAGCGUUGUUCGGAAUUACUGGGCGUAAAGGGCUCGUAGGCGGCCAACUAAGUCGGAUGUGAAAUCCCCAGGCUUAACCUGGGAACUGCAUUCGAGACUGCAUUGCUAGAGUAUGGGAGAGGGAAGUGGAAUUUCCGGUGUAGCGGUGAAAUGCGUAGAUAUCGGAAGGAACAUCAGUGGCGAAAGCGACUUCCUGGACCAAUACUGACGCUCAUGUGCGAAAGCGUGGGGAGCAAACAGG
rnacentral:rRNA from 1 species